CUGGACUCUUCAAAGAGCUCAGCAUGGCUGCAGAGUACUGAAGACAUACCUCAAGCUGCUGCAAAAUUAACUUAGGAAUUAUAAAAGCAUCUACUUUCCUGGCUGUAAGUAAAAAGGUAAAAUAGAAGAAAAGUCAAAGCAAAAGAAAAUUGAAGCAUGGGAAACAGAAAUAACUGCUUUUCUUCACUGCUCCUCUGAUAGUCCAUAUGGGGAAGGAAAAAUAGAAACCAUUCCUGUCAGUCCCGAAGUUGCGCCGACAGUCAGACAUAUACACAAUUUCUGCACUCUGUCUUUCUAAAAAGGGACUGGAGUCCUCACUGCACACACGGGCAGAAGAUGUGGAUGACAAUCCCUGACUCAUGAGCCCUUGUGAUCAUCUCUGAAGUAAUGGUUUCCAAAUGAAUAUCUGGACUGCUGCU
rnacentral:lncRNA from 1 species